UUCCUGGUACUGAUUGAAUCUCACGGUUGCGGAAACAUCUAUGCAGCUUUUGUAGUGUAGUGUUUCUAUGAGACCAGGAGCGCAUUGUUGCACCUAUUCUGAGGCUAGAGACUGAAAACACAUUGAGUCAGGUCCUCUGCCCCAUGACAUGGAUAGUUCAUGUGUACCAACAUUGCUGACAUUGCUGUGAGUUCUACCAGCUAAUGUGUGUGCUGGAGAUAUGAACUUCAAUAGGACUAGAACUGGAAACAAGGUAAGAGGUGGUUAAAAAUAUAUGGCAAUCAAAAUACAAAAUCACUUUCAGCCUCUUACAGAAAACUUGCAUUACAAUAUUUUUGCAUUAGAUCAGGAAGAUUCUGGGGAGACAUGGCAAUGUGUUACAACGGAAAAAUCUUUCAGUUCAUAAAUUCUUCAAUAAUAUAAAAGCUAUACUUUUUUGUUCCCCUUGUUUUUCCAGCUUCCAAGACUACUACAGAGACAAGGACCUUAUGACUCUGGUACUACAAGAGGAGGUGGCUCUGUAUAGACUGUUCUGGAGUCUUUGCCCAAGUUUUCCCAGGACUCCUUUUCAUUAUGUACUCCCACUGCAUAUCCCCUCCAAAAAGGGGGAAAACUCAUUACGUAUUUGACUAAAAAUUUCAGAAAUUUGGGACUAUGUUCUCAUUCAGAACAUUUGGAAAUAUCAGUAACUUGAAUAUAAUAUAAUCAUAUGAUCUUGAAUAUGAGCUUUAUAAGUACAUCUUCAGUUAUUUGUGUCUCUAAGCUCCUGCCAUUCAUUAGAUCAUUCAGGGCUAUGCUUCUGUGAGACUUUCAAUCUCAUAACUUCAGAUGAAGUCAUGGGAAACUUAAGGUGACUGAAAAUCAGGCUCAGAGUGAAAUAGCUCAUGGUGACAAUUGCUUUGAUUUGCUCAGAAUUCCAUUCAUUUUUAGCAGUACUGAAACAUGUGGAAGGUAGAAUGAGGAUAAACCAUUUAUAACAUACUCGGAAAUUGGUGUGCUUGUUACACACAACUUCUACAUGUAACAACUAACACAGAAAUGCUUUUGGACUGUUUUCAGUCUGCAGUGAAGAGUAUCCGGAUAUUUUUUAUCUCUGUUCUAUUUCCUUAUCAUAUCUGCGUGUGUUUGAGGAUGACAGAGCACUUUGAGAAGUAAAGGUGCAUGCGCAGAAAACUAAACCACAACAGUUACGUAGCUGCACAUAGAAACUCAGUUCUUAGCUAAUUUGCUGAAAAUAGCAGUGAGAUCACUUUCAUCAUUCCCAGCUGAGAACCAAAGUAAGUGGUCUUGUAAGGACUGUUUUCCUCUUAAGUUCUUUAACUGUAGAAAGUGAGGUUGCUCCAUGUAGGCUUCUUUAAAUAAAUGUCAGAGGGAUUUUUGGUGGUAUUUUCUUCUCAUUUACUGUCUCAAAUUAGUUCAUGUAUAUAGUAUUAAUGAGAACAGAGAUUUGAUUUUGAUUCAUUUCUCAAUCUCUUCACAUCAUCCUUGCAUUAACUUGCUUUUGGCAGAUUCUACGGAAAAUAAAUACUAUUAAGAGUUGAAAAUAAGGUGUUGGAACCACUCUUUGUCAAACACAAAAAUUUCCAUAAUGAGCUUUUCCUCAUUUGUCAAAGCCUUUCAUCUAAGAGCCUAUUCCAACACCUUGUGUUGACCUCUUUUUUAUGUUAGACAGAAAUGAACACGGUGUGCUAACUUUGAAGGCAAACUACUCCUUGCUCUGUCUUCUCAGACACAAACUGCCCUCCAACAAGGCCCUGUUCCCAAACUCAUGUGAGAAUGAAGUGUCCAGGCCUAACUAGUUGUACUUAAUCUCCUAUUUCAUAAUUCAGCAGAGCAUGGCCAGAUAUGAACUGUGCACAGUGCUAAAAUGCUACAGAUGGGCUGUAGGAAAUGAUUCACUCUCAAAUAUGAAAGGACUAAAAGUCAGCUACAGUCAUAAGAAACUGAAAAAGAAGUUGAAUGUGGGUGGCUGAAACUAUUUGCAUGUUGCCAUUGUAAAAAUGAAGAGGAAGAAUAAAGGCAAAUUUUUCAUGGUGCUGCAUGUUGUACCUGUGAUCAUAUGGUUGCAUGGUAAUGUGAUCAUUCAUCUCCUAUUCAUACAAGAAUAAAGAAUUUGCCUUGCUUUACAGGUGGUGGAUGUGAUAAAGCUUGUGACAGGAGCAGUCUCCACUUCCCUGGUGCUGAGAAGCACCCAGAAGAAGUAUAUUAACACAAGUCUGUUCUACUACUCAAGUGUGUUGUUGUACCUGGUUGACAGUGGUGACUGCAGUUGGGAAGGGUGACCAGGAGCAGUGAGAAGGCUGUGACCAAAGCAAGAUAAAUGAGGAGGUGCAAAAGUGCCAGUUUUUGUCCAGCACCUGCUGAGUACCUCAACACAUCCACAACCCAAACCUCUAAAAAUGUAAACAAGCCUUCCUCAGUGCAAACAUUUCUCACUCCAAUCUGUCUUGAGGCACCAAGAGAAUCUUUUUCAUGAUUGAAAGCUUUAUAUUUUCUGAAUAAAUGGAAGAAGAGCAAGCCAUAGGAAAAAAAUCCCUUUAAAACAGCAAAGCUAAGAUGUCUGCACUGAACAUUCUGAACUGUCUGCCUUUGGGAGCAACAGAUACAAAAGCUUCUGAGAGAGGGAAGUGAGAUCAAACCACAAAAAUUGUUAACAUAAUAUAUAUAUAUAAAGCUUUCUCACAUUUCACUUUUCAUUAUCUGCAAGAAAAUGGUCCUGCCUUACCAUAUCUUAUAUGUUACUGUAAUUAAACCAAGUUCAUGCAUCUUUUUGCAUUUGUAAUUGCAAUUUAUGUGAGGCACUGCUGGAAGCUAUUUUUCCAGUUUAGAAUUUGAUUAAAUGUAUUUGCCUGACAGGUUCUAGUUUAACCUAACAAUUACCCUUUUUUAAAUCUCUUUGUACCCUUUCACAGUACAAAUCUCUCUCUUUCUCUUUUUUUUUUAAUAGCUUUUUAUAACUAGUGCCAUUUUCAUGAGAUGUAUGUUACUGUGCAGAGUGCUGUACUGAUCUCACUUUAGCCAAUGGAAAUAUUUGCACAGUUGCAAGUUCCCAUAUAUUAAUAGAAUGAUCAUUUCAUUUGAGCUUUCCCAGUGCUGUCUUUUUCAGACCUGAGUCUGGUAUCAGUCUUGCCUUGCUGUUCUUCUGUCUCACUCAUUUGGAAUUUCUGAUACUCAGCUGCAUCAUUAUUCAUAGACAUCCUAACAAAGUGCCAAUCCAGGCUCUUUCAGAGCUCAUCAUCAUGGGCUAAUUCACCUUUCUGAAUAACUGUAGAGAAAAUAAUUUCACACUCAACUCCAUGCUGCUGCCUCCACUCUGCUUUGACACUGAAGAAGGUUUUUCAAAGCAAGCUCAAUAUCUCCAUACUGCAAUCCAGACAUAUCUUUAUGCAUAACUUAUUAGCUGAUAUCUCUUAGAGAAUUGUUUGUGAAAAACAGCCAAGAUCUUUCAUGUUCUCUAUUGUUGUUCAGUUGUUUUCUCUCACCGUAUCAGGCUGGAUUCAUCAGUCAAAACAGAUGUCUAGGUGUGAUUUUAGAUCUGAAUUCAUAUAGAUUCAGAAUCUGGUCUUGCCUGUGCAAGGAGAAGAGGUUCAGACAUCAUGUUCAGACUUGCAUGCAAAGUUCAGACCUGAGAUAAUUCUGCAUAGUGUUAUAGACUUUAGUGGAGCUAUGGACAUUAAUCCAACUGUACACACAAAUGAUAGGGACAUAUCAGUGCUGUUUCGUAUCACAGAGUGUAAAGGAAGUGAAACAACAGGAACAUAGUAAAAGUAACAAAAAUUGUCUCAGCCUUCUGAAUCUGGAAUUUUGGCAGGUGGCAGCAGUUCAGUGUUGCCUGUUGGUGGGGAGUGUUUGGCAUGGAGACCAAUCUCAAUAAAAAAUACAUUAAAGUAUGUUUUUUAAACAUAAUUACAACAUGAAAUAUGAAGUUAAAUAAAGAGAAGUGGCUAUAUAA